AACGCUGGCGGCGUGCCUAAUACAUGCAAGUCGUACGCUUCUUUUUCCACCGGAGCUUGCUCCACCGGAAAAAGAAGAGUGGCGAACGGGUGAGUAACACGUGGGUAACCUGCCCAUCAGAAGGGGAUAACACUUGGAAACAGGUGCUAAUACCGUAUAACAAUCGAAACCGCAUGGUUUUGAUUUGAAAGGCGCUUUCGGGUGUCGCUGAUGGAUGGACCCGCGGUGCAUUAGCUAGUUGGUGAGGUAACGGCUCACCAAGGCUACGAUGCAUAGCCGACCUGAGAGGGUGAUCGGCCACAUUGGGACUGAGACACGGCCCAAACUCCUACGGGAGGCAGCAGUAGGGAAUCUUCGGCAAUGGACGAAAGUCUGACCGAGCAACGCCGCGUGAGUGAAGAAGGUUUUCGGAUCGUAAAACUCUGUUGUUAGAGAAGAACAAGGAUGAGAGUAACUGUUCAUCCCUUGACGGUAUCUAACCAGAAAGCCACGGCUAACUGCGUGCCAGCAGCCGCGGUAAUACGUAGGUGGCAAGCGUUGUCCGGAUUUAUUGGGCGUAAAGCGAGCGCAGGCGGUUUCUUAAGUCUGAUGUGAAAGCCCCCGGCUCAACCGGGGAGGGUCAUUGGAAACUGGGAGACUUGAGUGCAGAAGAGGAGAGUGGAAUUCCAUGUGUAGCGGUGAAAUGCGUAGAUAUAUGGAGGAACACCAGUGGCGAAGGCGGCUCUCUGGUCUGUAACUGACGCUGAGGCUCGAAAGCGUGGGGAGCAAACAGGAUUAGAUACCCUGGUAGUCCACGCCGUAAACGAUGAGUGCUAAGUGUUGGAGGGUUUCCGCCCUUCAGUGCUGCAGCUAACGCAUUAAGCACUCCGCCUGGGGAGUACGACCGCAAGGUUGAAACUCAAAGGAAUUGACGGGGGCCCGCACAAGCGGUGGAGCAUGUGGUUUAAUUCGAAGCAACGCGAAGAACCUUACCAGGUCUUGACAUCCUUUGACCACUCUAGAGAUAGAGCUUCCCCUUCGGGGGCAAAGUGACAGGUGGUGCAUGGUUGUCGUCAGCUCGUGUCGUGAGAUGUUGGGUUAAGUCCCGCAACGAGCGCAACCCUUAUUGUUAGUUGCCAUCAUUUAGUUGGGCACUCUAGCAAGACUGCCGGUGACAAACCGGAGGAAGGUGGGGAUGACGUCAAAUCAUCAUGCCCCUUAUGACCUGGGCUACACACGUGCUACAAUGGGAAGUACAACGAGUCGCGAAGUCGCGAGGCUAAGCUAAUCUCUUAAAGCUUCUCUCAGUUCGGAUUGUAGGCUGCAACUCGCCUACAUGAAGCCGGAAUCGCUAGUAAUCGCGGAUCAGCACGCCGCGGUGAAUACGUUCCCGGGCCUUGUACACACCGCCCGUCACACCACGAGAGUUUGUAACACCCGAAGUCGGUGAGGUAACCUUUUGGAGCCAGCCGCCUAAGGUGGGAUAGA
rnacentral:rRNA from 1 species